GUAGUACUCCCUCCGUCCCAAAAUUCUUGUCUUAGAUUUGUCUAAAUGCGGAUGUAUCUAGUUACGUUUUAGUGUUAGAUACAUCCGUAUCUAGACAAAUCUAAGACAAGAAUUUUGGGACGGAGGGAGUACUAC
rnacentral:pre_miRNA from 1 species